rnacentral:rRNA from 1 species
GAUGAACGCUGGCGGCGUGCCUAAUACAUGCAAGUCGAACGAAACUUCUUUAUCACCGAGUGCUUGCACUCACCGAUAAAGAGUUGAGUGGCGAACGGGUGAGUAACACGUGGGCAACCUGCCCAAAAGAGGGGGAUAACACUUGGAAACAGGUGCUAAUACCGCAUAACCAUAGUUACCGCAUGGUAACUCUGUAAAAGGUGGCUAUACUACCGCUUUUGGAUGGACCCGCGGCGCAUUAGCUAGUUGGUAGGGUAAAGGCUUACCAAGGCAAUGAUGCGUAGCCGAAUUGAGAGGUUGAUCGGCCACAUUGGGACUGAGACACGGCCCAAACUCCUACGGGAGGCAGCAGUAGGGAAUCUUCCACAAUGGGCGAAAGCCUGAUGGAGCAACGCCGCGUGGGUGAAGAAGGUCUUCGGAUCGUAAAACCCUGUUGUUAGAGAAGAAAGUGCGUGAGAGUAACUGUUCACGUUUCGACGGUAUCUAACCAGAAAGCCACUGCUAACUACGUG